GAUGAACGCUGGCGGCGUGCUUAACACAUGCAAGUCGAACGGAAAGGCCCAAGCUUGCUUGGGUGCUCGAGUGGCGAACGGGUGAGUAACACGUGGGUGAUCUGCCCUGCACUUUGGGAUAAGCCUGGGAAACUGGGUCUAAUACCGGAUAGGACCAUCGUUUAGUGUCGGUGGUGGAAAGUUUUUCGGUGUGGGAUGAGCUCGCGGCCUAUCAGCUUGUUGGUGGGGUAAUGGCCUACCAAGGCGUCGACGGGUAGCCGGCCUGAGAGGGUGUACGGCCACAUUGGGACUGAGAGACGGCCCAGACUCCUACGGGAGGCAGCAGUGGGGAAUAUUGCACAAUGGGCGCAAGCCUGAUGCAGCGACGCCGCGGGGGGGAUGACGGCCUUCGGGUUGUAAACUCCUUUCGCCAAGGACGAAGCGUUUUGUGACGGUACUUGGAGAAGAAGCACCGGCUAACUACGUG
rnacentral:rRNA from 1 species